rnacentral:snoRNA from 17 species
AGCAUAAUUCGAAGGCCGUCAUUCCUACUAUCCCUUGUGGAAUGUAAUCGGUUCAAACAUUGUGCCAGA